UUCUCUUUCCACUUAUGCUUGAAAUUGAGUUGUUCAGAGAAGAAGCAACGGUUUCAUCAUUGCAAUGGACCAUUGAUGGCAUCUAAUUCAUGUCAAUCCCUUGUUGAAACAUUCUCACAUGAGAGUUCCUAUGUGCCAUGCGUUUCAUUGUGAAUGAGGAAAUGACAAUCUUUUAAUUAAUUGAAGCCUCAAAGGUUAGUUUUGAAAACUAAGACCUUUUACUGAAUUUUCUAUAUUUCAUGUUGGGUUUUCUUGUGUAAAGUUACUGAGUUUUAUUUUUUAUU
rnacentral:misc_RNA from 1 species